ACGGGAGGCAGCAGUGAGGAAUAUUGGUCAAUGGGCGAGAGCCUGAACCAGCCAAGUAGCGUGAAGGAUGACUGCCCUACGGGUUGUAAACUUCUUUUAUACGGGAAUAAAAAAGGCCACGUGUGGCCUCUUGUAUGUACCGUAUGAAUAAGCAUCGGCUAAUUCCGUGCCAGCAGCCGCGGUAAUACGGAAGAUGCGAGCGUUAUCCGGAUUUAUUGGGUUUAAAGGGAGCGUAGGCGGGUCUUUAAGUCAGUGGUCAAAGCGUGUGGCUCAACCAUACCACGCCAUUGAUACUGGAGACCUUGAGUGCACAUAAGGAUGGUGGAAUUCGUCGUGUAGCGGUGAAAUGCUUAGAUAUGACGAAGAACUCCGAUUGCGAAGGCAGCUGGCGGUACCGUUACCGACGCUCAUGCUCGAAAGUGUGGGUAUCGAACAGGAUUAGAUACCCUGGUA
rnacentral:rRNA from 1 species